AUCUUAUCAAGAGAAGCUGAGGGACUGGGCCCUAUGAAGCUUCAGCAACCAGCAAAAUGUAUGGUGCUAAUUCCAGUGGCAUAAUGAGAUAGCCGAAGAUAAGAA
rnacentral:ncRNA from 2 species